ACGGGAGGCAGCAGUGGGGAGUAUUGCACAAUGGGCGAAAGCCUGGUGCAGCGACGCCGCGUGAGUGAAGAAGUAUUUCGGUAUGUAAAGCUCUAUCAGCAGGGAAGAAAAUGACAGUACCUGACUAAGAAGCCCCGGCUAACUACGUGCCAGCAGCCGCGGUAAUACGUAGGGGGCAAGCGUUAUCCGGAUUUAUUGGGUUUAAAGGGUGCGUAGGCGGCUUGCCAAGUCAGCGGUGAAAUCCGGGCGCCCAACGCCGGAACUGCCGUUGAAACUGGCGGGCUUGAAUGGUGCCGCCGCAUGCGGAAUGUGUGAAGUAGCGGUGAAAUGCAUAGAUAUCACACAGAACGCCGAUUGUGGAAACAGCAUGCGAGACACAUAUUGACGCUGAGGCACGAAGGUGCGGGGAUCGAACAGGAUUAGAUACCCUGGUA
rnacentral:rRNA from 1 species